rnacentral:rRNA from 1 species
AUGUCGUCCCUCAGCCGCGAGCUCGUCUUCCUCAUCCUCCAGUUCCUCGACGAGGAGAAGUUCAAGGAGACCGUGCACAAGCUUGAACAAGAGUCAGGCUUUUACUUCAACGUCAAGUACUUUGAGGAGAAGGUCCAUGCUGGGGAGUGGGAUGAGGUGGAAAGGUAUCUCUCAGGUUUCACCAAGGUGGACGACAAUAGGUAUUCGAUGAAGAUCUUCUUUGAGAUCAGGAAGCAGAAGUAUUUGGAAGCUCUUGAUAGGCAUGAUAGAGCAAAGGCGGUAGAUAUUCUUGUCAAGGAUCUUAAAGUCUUCUCGACAUUCAACGAGGAGUUAUAUAAAGAGAUAACACAGCUUCUCACUCUUGAGAAUUUCAGUUUGCUAUUUUCCUGCAGGGAAAAUGAACAGCUAUCUAAGUAUGGGGAUACAAAAUCUGCUCGCAGUAUUAUGCUGAUUGAGCUAAAAAAACUAAUCGAAGCAAAUCCCCUUUUCCGGGAAAAACUUGUCUUUCCAACCCUUAAGGCAUCCCGUUUGCGGACUUUAAUUAACCAAAGCUUAAACUGGCAGCAUCAACUUUGUAAGAACCCUCGGCCAAAUCCAGAUAUCAAGACAUUAUUCACGGAUCACACUUGCUCUCCUCCCAAUGGAGCACGUACAUCUCCUGUAUCUGUACCAUUGGCAGCUGUUCCGAAGGCUGGUGCAGCAUACCAGCCACUCACAGGCCAUGCUCCAUUCCAGCCUCCUCCUCCUGCCGGUCCAUCUUUAGCUGGUUGGAUGACAAGUGCUGCUGUUUCUUCAUCCAUUCAGUCUGCUGCCGUGGCAGCAUCAUCAAUGUCUGUUCCACCAAAUCAAGGCAUGAUGAAACGCCCAGCUAUAUCAGACUAUCAAAGUGCAGAAUCUGAGCAACUAAUGAAGCGAUUGAGGCCCACUGGACAUGGUAUUGAUGAGGCCACCUAUCCUGCACCUACUCCUCAACCUUCAUGGUCAUUGGAUGACCUUCCUAGGACAGUGGCGUGCACAUUAUCACAGGGAUCUAAUGUAACUAGCAUGGACUUUCAUCCUUCUCGUCAUACACUACUACUAGUUGGAUCUGCUAAUGGUGAAUUUACACUUUGGGAGAUUGGUCUGCGUGAGAGGCUGGUCUCAAAGCCCUUCAAAAUUUGGGACAUGCAAGCAUGUUCAGCACAAUUUCAGAGUGUCUUGGCUAAAGACUCUUCCAUGCCCAUUAAUCGAGUUACAUGGAGCCCUGAUGGAGACUUGAUUGGAGUUGCAUUCGCAAAACAUUUGAUCCAUCUGUACGCAUACCAACAACCUAAUGAAGCACGCCAAGUUUUAGAGAUUGAGGCUCAUUCUGGAGGAGUUAAUGACAUAGCAUUCUCCCGGCCAAAUAAGCAACUCUGUGUUGUCACUUGCGGAGAUGACAAGCUGAUAAGGGUCUGGGAUAUGCAUGGACAGAAAAUAUAUUCGUUUGAAGGGCACGAGGCACCUGUGUAUUCUAUUUGCCCUCACCACAAAGAGACUAUUCAGUUUAUAUUCUCAACUUCCAUUGAUGGGAAAAUUAAGGCAUGGCUUUAUGACAAUGCGGGAUCUAGGGUGGACUAUGAUGCUCCAGGAAAAUGGUGUACUACAAUGCUUUAUAGUGCCGAUGGAACUAGGCUGUUCUCAUGCGGAACAAGCAAAGAGGGAGACUCACAUUUGGUUGAGUGGAACGAAAGCGAAGGAUCUAUCAAGAGAACAUAUUCUGGAUUCCGCAAAAAGGCAUCUGGUGUAGUGCAGGGUGUUGUGCAGUUUGAUACAGCUCAGAAUCACAUUUUAGCUGCCGGGGAAGAUAACCAAAUUAAAAUUUGGGAUGUUGAUAACACCAACAUGCUUACCUUUAUUGAUGCCGAUGGAGGCUUGCCAGGCCUUCCCCGGUUAAGGUUCAAUAAAGAGGGGAAUCUUCUUGCUGUUACUACAGUAGACAAUGGCUUUAAGAUACUUGCAAAUUCUGAUGGGCUCAGGUCUUUACGGGCUUUUGGGAACCGGCCUUUCGAGGCGUUUAGGUCACCAUAUGAAGCUUCUGCGAUGAAGGUCUCAGGUGCUCCUGUUGUUGCGGGCAUCUCUCCUAACAUUGGCCGAAUGGAUAACUUAGACAGGAACUCUCCUGCAAAGCCAUCUCCUAUACUGAAUGGCGCUGAUCCAGCAUCUAGAAGCAUAGAUAUAAAGCCAAGAAUCUCAGAAGAAAAACCUGAUAAAGCGAAACCUUGGGAGCUGAUGGAAGUUCUAAAUCCCCAGCAAUUCCGUGUAGCUACAUUGCCAGAAACUCCAGACCAAACCAGCAAGGUUGUCAGACUUCUGUACACAAAUUCUGGUGUCGGUUUGUUAGCACUAGGGUCUAAUGCCAUUCAAAGGCUGUGGAAAUGGAACCGAAAUGAGCAGAAUCCAAGUGGGAAGGCCACGGCUAGUGUUGUGCCACAGCAUUGGCAACCAAACAGUGGCCUUGUCAUGGCAAAUGAUAUCGGGGAAACACCUCCUGAGGAGUCAGUCCCAUGCAUUGCACUCUCCAAGAAUGAUUCUUAUGUGAUGUCUGCAUGUGGUGGAAAGGUCUCAUUGUUUAAUAUGAUGACAUUUAAGGUGAUGACAACAUUCAUGCCACCUCCACCAGCAUCGACCUUUUUAGCAUUUCACCCUCAAGAUAAUAACAUCAUAGCAAUUGGAAUGGAAGAUUCAACCAUCCACAUAUACAAUGUCAGGGUAGAUGAGGUCAAAAUUAGACUCAAAGGACAUCAAAAGAGGAUAACUGGAUUGGCCUUUUCCAACAGCCUGCAUAUACUUGUGUCUUCUGGCGCUGAUGCACAGUUAUGUGUGUGGGCCACCGAUUCUUGGGAAAAGAAGAAAUUGGUCGCUAUACAAAUGCCAGCUGGGAAGACUCCAUCAGGAGACACAAGGGUUCAGUUUAAUUCUGACCAAAAUCGCUUGUUAGUAGUCCAUGAGACUCAGAUAGCUAUUUAUGAUGCAUCCAAGAUGGAGAGAAUCUACCAGUGGAUACCUCAGGGCACUUUGUCAGCUGCCAUAUCACACGCAUCGUACUCGUGCAAUAGCCAACUAGUUUUUGCUGCUUUUACUGAUGGUAAUGUUGCCAUCUUUGAUGCGGAUAACUUGAGAUUACGAUGCCGAAUUGCAUCAUCUGCUUACAUGUCUACGAUAGCCAUAAACAGCAAUCCACCCGUUUACCCUUUUGUUGUCGCUGCACACCCCCAAGAACCAAAUCAAUUCGCAGUCGGGCUGUCAGAUGGAUCUGUUAAAGUGAUGGAGCCGUUGGAGUCCGACGGGAAGUGGGGGACGCCUGCUCCAGUGGAAAAUGGGGUGGCCAACGGAAGGGCGCCAGCAUCAUCAGCUACAAGCAAUCCAGCCACAGAUCAAAACCAAAGAUAG